rnacentral:lncRNA from 1 species
AUGGGAGCCGUCAGUAGUAAACAACGAGAUACUUUAACCCCAGUGGAACUGAUAAUGCUGAAACAUCCCACAAAGAAACGUAAAAUCCAACAGUGCAUGAACAGAUGGAACAGGAUGACAUCGGGGAGUGCAAAGUGGCCCGUUCAAGGCACCUUUGAUCCAGUGUACUGCGACACAGUGGAAAAGGCUUUACGCAAAAGAGAUGUUUUACAAUAUUUUAGAAUAGAAGGAGCUCAUAAGGAGAUGAUAGCUCAGAGCUCUAUCAAAAUAAAACCAACGGCACCCGAAGUUGAGACACGGCCGCCACCUUAUGCCCAAAUGACGGGGAGUGGACAGCUUCCCGUUAUAACUGAUAGGAAGAUAGGAGGCCAAUUUAGAGGAACUGUUACCCUAAAACUACACGAGACAGAGAUAGACGUAGAUGACACGCCACAUAAUAUAACACAGCACACUGCACAGACAGUGCUGACCAGGAGCAACGAGAAAGAACAGUCAUUCAGCGUGACAAAAUAUCCAGACUUGUCUCAGAAGGGUGAAGAAGGCGAUUUGCCCCACCACUAUACAGACUUGAGUGGAGAUGAACAGACAGUAGCUGAACUGCAAAGCAGGUGCAGGAAAGAGAGCCAGCACCAGAGAGGCGAACUCAACCUUGAACACCAGCCAAACGAUAGAUGUGAGCUGCAGCUGCCGCACACACAGGGAAGAUACAGCAAAGAAAGAGAUAUAUUUAAUUGCUGUGAGAAAGAUCAAGAACUCAGAAGAGCGUAUGGGAGUAGCCACUCCUGUCCUCCCACAUGUGGGAAAGAAAACGCAGGAGAGUGCGAGCGAAGAGACCGGGACCUGCUGCUGGCCCCCAGAUCUGCCUGCAAAUUAAAACAAGAGGCUGAGAGAAAAGCAGCACAACUUCAGCAAGAAAUAAGAAAGUGUGAACGAGCAAUAAUGGAAAAUGAUGCCUUGCUGAAAGAUUUCAAGGCCAAAAUAAGUGGCGCUGAUCAAAAGCCAACAUGGGAUAGGAUUAUCAAACAACAAGUUGAGAAAAAUAAAGAAACUCAAUCCAUGAGCCCACAAGAUGCUGCUAAGUGUCUUGAAGAGCUGCAACGUUUAGUGGCUCAAGAAGAAAUAGGUAAUGAACAAAGAGGAAAACCAAAAGGACUUAUCAGAGUUGAGAUGGAUGGUAAGUUCCAAGCUAUCCCUGAAAGGGAACAGAAAUCUAUGAGACUGCGGUCCCGAACACUUUCAAACUAUUACAGAGACACAGAUGAAUCAGAGCUUGGGUCUGACAGUGAAGAGCCGGACAACUACAUGGCACCACUGCUCAGUAAGGGACCUCACCAGCCAAACAGGUAUGUGCCAUGGAACUUUAUGGACAUGACAGGACUGGUAAACCGACUCCCAGCCCUAACAGAUGGAGCUGACAAAUGGAUUACAGCUCUGGAGGAAAACACAAGUGGCAUAACUUUGGCAAUGGGAGACAUUAAAGCAUUGUUGAUGCAAAUAGCAGGACAGCAGACAACAAAAGAAAUCCUACAAGAAGGAAGAACAGGAAAGGUUUUCUCAAACAAUGACUAUGAUGCAACACCAUUUGGACCGUACCGUCCAGGAGUAUGGAAAGCUCUCAGAGCUAAGUUUCCUGCAAAGAUGGAUCCCUCUAAGCUGGAGAAAGAGACUCUACAAGAUGGAGAGAGUCCCACACAGUUCCUAUAUGACUUUCAGAGAAAGUGGAAAAAUGAGACUGGAAGUGAAUGGAAUACAAAUGAAACCACGAAAACCCUCUUCAAAUUAAUGGUAAAGAAAGCCAUGCCAGAGGAGGUCAGAAAGAAACUGGACAAUGUUGUUGGACUGAUGAGGAUGGAAUGGCCGAUGUACUCUGAACACAUUGUGCACUAUGUGGAAACAUACAGAGCUGAAAAACAAAGCUUGGAAGAACAAAACAAGAUGCUGGCUGGAAGACUCACACAGCUUCAAAUAGGAGAGCUGACAAAGCAGAAGAAAGACAGAGAAAAGGCUAAACUGCAUGCACCAGUGACCACAGUAGCAGUGGAGCCUAAGUGUGAAACAGCACAGGAAUCAAAGCCUAACACUAAGAACGAUACAACAAUGUUACAGGCCCCAGUUAUUCCUGCCACACCAGCAGCACAGCCAGUAUCACAAAUGUUUCCACCUGCACAGCAUCCGUCCUAUCAACCAGCAGGGGCUACACAGGUGCAGCAAACCCCUCCAAUACAUGUGCAUCUAAAUCAAGGCUACCCAACACAGGGCAGGGGCAGAAUGAACCUAAGAGGAGGGUCCAAUCAGAGAGGAAGAUGGAGGAGAGGGCCCCCACUGAUGCAGUACCAGACCCCACAACAAUACCAAACAGGCCAGCAGUACCAAACUCCACAACCGCUUGCAGGCCCACCUGGGCAACCGAGAGCAGCGCAAGGAGAGUGCUGGGGAUGUGGGCAACCAGGUCACAUGAUGAGAAACUGUCCGACUAAUCCCUGGAUGGGCCCUGCAGCACAGUGGCCAUAG